GGGACGAAGGCCCUCGGGUUGUAAACCCCUUUCGGCAGGGAAGAAGCGAAAGUGACGGUACCUGCAGAAGAAGCUCCGGCUAACUACGUGCCAGCAGCCGCGGUAAGACGUAGGGAGCGAGCGUUGUCCGGAUUCAUUGGGCGUAAAGCGCGCGUAGGCGGUUUGGCAAGUCGGAUGUGAAAUCCCGAGGCUCAACCUCGGGACUGCAUCCGAUACUGCCCGACUAGAGGUAGGUAGGGGAGAUCGGAAUUCCUGGUGUAGCGGUGAAAUGCGCAGAUAUCAGGAGGAACACCGGUGGCGAAGGCGGAUCUCUGGGCCUGACCUGACGCUGAGGCGCGAAAGCUAGGGGAGCGAACAGGAUUAGAUACCCUGGUAGUCCUAGCCGUAAACGUUGGGUGCUAGGUGUGGGCGGAUAUCGACCCCGUCCGUGCCGAAGCUAACGCAUUAAGCACCCCGCCUGGGGAGUACGGCCGCAAGGCUA
rnacentral:rRNA from 1 species